UCGUAAAAGUUUAGUUUAUCUCAUUCAUCAAUAUUCUAAAUGAUUUCAGAUUGACGAAAGACACUCAAUUUUAUUAGCUGCAGUCGAGACGGUAUUAUUUUCUACCAUACUUUUAGUUGAGGCUCUGUACAUAACUAAUCUGCGAGUUGCUGUAAGUAUUGAAAUCAAUCAAUUCAAGUCUCAAAAUCCUUUGCUUUUAAGCUGAAAUCCCUCUUCAAUUCCACAGAAAGUCAAUCCCUCUUCCUCUGACAAAAAUCGAAGAAAGUAGAACUUGAGCCGUAGUUAAAUGCCUAUGCAUAUUUAUAUUAAUGUGCACAAUGCUUCGAUACAAAAUUCCUCAUAUGUAACAUAUUAAAUUGGUAUCAUCAGAUAUAGUGGGCUCUGAAGGGUAGUGGUACAUCAAAGAUUUCCCUUUGUUCUUGUUUUGUGUGCAGUGUUCUGAAGUUGGAUUCCUGGCUUACUCGAUAUAUCUGAAAAACCAUAGGGCCGGAAAAGAUCUGCUGCUCGUUGUCUACAGGUCAAAUCGGCAAGAAAAAUUCUCGUGUCUUUUUACGUCCUCGUUUACUCCCAAAACAGUUUUCAAGAUUCUGAAUAUGGUUUGGAAUUUCUUCACGAUUGCCAAAGGGAUGGAGGAAAAACUUGCACGUGCUGGACAUUACUAGGAGCGGAAGCGACCCCGUCAAGCCGAAAGCGAUCUCCAACAACCAAGAAUGGGAGCCGCUACUGGAUCUUACACGAACCCGUUCAACUUUUCCGUUAUUUUGAGAUAUCUCCGCGAAAACUUAACAAAACUCAAAACCCUUUGCACUCUGGCUGGCAAACUUAAUUCCUCGCAUACGGGCGAAAUUCGGAGGUGAUUCAUUAAGCAAGCAGUUAAUUAAUAAUCGCUAAUUAAUUGCCGUUUUUUGGUCAAAUUUUCAAAUCACCCGCGUGUUAUCACAUUCGUGCCUCGAAAUGUUGCCUUCAAUCGGCCAUCCGCAUUAAAUAUAAUGUGCACCCAACAGUUAUGAAUAUCAAUGCAACUCAUUUCAUAGUUUAAACCAGUGCAAGGUAUCAUUUCUUGAAUUAAAAGCGUCCUUUCGAAUUAUUGAAACUUAGAUUGUCAAACGAUCCAAGUCGUAUCUCUUGAUCGAGUGAACAGCUGUGAACAGAAUAUAUCGUGAAUCAAGUGAUUCAAGUGAAUCCCGGCUGGUGAAUUCUGAAUCGCGACCCUCUUUUCCACGCUUGCAAGGAAACUGAGAUUAACAUAGAUUUGCGUUAAUCACUCAUUUUCCGAUUUGUCUUUUUUUCUAGUAACAACUGGUUUCUAAGAAUUUUGAAUUUCUUGCCUUCGUGACUUCGUGCCGGGAAGCUAGCUGAUGUCACAGUCAAUUCAAUCAAUCAAUGUUUGUCUGUUCGCUUUUAGGUUAUCGCGAGAUGUAAGCAUACCUACACAAACUAAACUAAUAAUAAAUUAAUGUUGUUUUUUCGAAAUGCAAACUAAAUUAUUUUAAUGAAACUUCCCUUUAUUGUUCACUGCUAUCUCUAAAUUUUGUGUCUACCUUUAUUACCGUGCUACAAGUUCUGUGUAAAUUCUUCCAUCUAGGAUUCAUUUGUUAGCAAGCAAAUCUGUAAGUACCUAUGAAAAUAAGUGAAUUUUAAUACCCUUAUCAUCUAUCAUUUUAACUUAUGCUGGAAUGG
rnacentral:lncRNA from 1 species